rnacentral:rRNA from 1 species
UUGAACGCUGGCGGCAUGCCUUACACAUGCAAGUCGAACGGCAGCACGGGGGCAACCCUGGUGGCGAGUGGCGAACGGGUGAGUAAUGCAUCGGAACGUGCCCUGAAGUGGGGGAUAACGUAGCGAAAGUUACGCUAAUACCGCAUAUUCUGUGAGCAGGAAAGCAGGGGAUCGCAAGACCUUGCGCUUUAGGAGCGGCCGAUGUCGGAUUAGCUAGUUGGUGAGGUAAAGGCUCACCAAGGCGACGAUCCGUAGCGGGUCUGAGAGGAUGAUCCGCCACACUGGGACUGAGACACGGCCCAGACUCCUACGGGAGGCAGCAGUGGGGAAUUUUGGACAAUGGGCGCAAGCCUGAUCCAGCCAUGCCGCGUGAGUGAAGAAGGCCUUCGGGUUGUAAACCGCUUUUGUCAGGGAAGAAAUCCUUUGAGCUAAUACCUCGGAGGGAUGACGGUACCUGAAGAAUAAGCACCGGCUAACUACGU